GGUCCUUAGAGAUUGGAACAAGGCUCAUAGCUCAGGGAUUGGAUAAUAUGGCAGCCUCUCUUUUUACUAUUUCCUUUACUCUGCAUAAAGGCCUUUUCUUUUGACUUAAUGACAGAAUUUCUAGUUGAUGAAUAAAGAAAGCCCAGAUUCUGCAUAGGACUGAAUAAUUCUAGGUAUGAAUCAUGAACCUACUUUUAAGCAGCUUGCACCUGAAAUCAAAGCUGUGAUACUCUGGAUUAUGGAUAUUCCCUUUGUGCUGUCAGCCAACCUUCACAGCAGAGACCUUAUGGCAAAACACCCUUACAUAAGC